AAGCAAUGUUUUGAAUUUGUGCUGACAUCGGUUGGCUCUAGCUAAUUGGCGAAGAAUUUGCUGAAACUGGGAAAAGAAGCAGAGACUGCUUGCAUUUUUACCUCUGGACAAAGACACUAAGGACAAGUGUUUGUGGCAACUGCCUUCUCUGAACAGCGGUCUCAUCAGCACAGGCCUCAGUACACUGGAGAACCCAGAUUUGACAGCACUGCACACCCAUCUCGGGCCUUCCUGUUUCAUUUUGCGAUUACCCCAGAUACUUCUACUACUAACCCGCUAUGUGUCUGAUGUUGAUGCAGUCUGGACACUAAUAUGUGUUGGAUUGCUGACCAUCAUUGAAGAUGAUGUAUUUCUCCAAAUCUUCUCUGCCUUGACCCUGUGUCUUCUGCCAUCAUUGUUCAGGGUACACUGCAAAGAACAGUCUGUAGAAUCUACAUCAACUGUUUGCUUCUGGAAUGUCAUUUGGUACAUUUGGAUUACUGCUACAUUUGGAUUGACCUAAUACCAUGAAAAACACUUGGAGAUUCAUUCAAAGUGUGGUGCUUUACUUGGGACAAAACAAAACCCUGAAACUAAAGUGACUUUUUGAACUUUAAUUAUAUAAACCAUGGGCAACGUGUGCAGCCUACCCAGUGCCAUACUUAAACUCAUCCUCCUACUGCUACCUCCACUUCUUACACUAAGCAUAACCUAAAUCAGAUUGUUGUUGGUUUGUAUCAGAUUGCUGUUGGUUUGUGUAAUACAUUACCUUUAACUUUGAAUUGUCACUGCCUUAAAUUUAUGUGUCAUAUGAAUGGAACACUGUUUUCAUUAAUUUGUAAUGGAUUUUUGAAGCACUUAAGUUACUAGACUAGUUAAAUUACUAGUUACUAUUACUACUUAAAUUAAUAGUUAGUAAUUUAAGUGCUUAGUUGCAUUUACUUGAACAGAAAUCUAAUUUAUUGCUAAAACCAUGCAAUCCGAUAGCUUUCAAUAAACCAAGUAAGCAUUACUCUAGCACCAGAGUAACGCUUACUUGAUUUAAGGCAAUCGGUUUGCAUGGUUUUAGCAAGUAAAUUAGAUUUCUGUUCAAGUAAAUACAACUAAGUGAUUCUGAGUUACCAGAACUUGCGUGUAAGUUUACAACACUAAAUAAACCUUUGUAAGUACAAAAUACUGUUCUUAUUUCACUUUACUUGGUUUUUUCAAGGCAAUCGGUUUG